rnacentral:rRNA from 1 species
ACUUAAAUUGAAGAGUUUGAUCAUGGCUCAGAUUGAACGCUGGCGGCAGGCCUAACACAUGCAAGUCGAGCGGUAGCACAGAGAGCUUGCUCUCGGGUGACGAGCGGCGGACGGGUGAGUAAUGUCUGGGAAACUGCCUGAUGGAGGGGGAUAACUACUGGAAACGGUAGCUAAUACCGCAUAACGUCGCAAGACCAAAGUGGGGGACCUUCGGGCCUCAUGCCAUCAGAUGUGCCCAGAUGGGAUUAGCUAGUAGGUGGGGUAACGGCUCACCU